UACGUAGGGUGCAAGCGUUAUCCGGAAUUAUUGGGCGUAAAGAGCGUGUAGGCGGCCAGGUAGGUCGGUUGUGAAAACUGGAGGCUCAACCUUCAGAGGUCGACCGAAACCAUCUGGCUAGAGUCCGGGAGAGGAGAGUGGAAUUCCUGGUGUAGCGGUGAAAUGCGCAGAUAUCAGGAAGAACACCCGUGGCGAAAGCGGCUCUCUGGAACGGUACUGACGCUGAGACGCGAAAGCGUGGGGAGCGAACAGG
rnacentral:rRNA from 1 species